GACCACCACUUUUAGAAACACUUGUAUAAGAAACAAAGAAACAGACAGACAAACGUAGGCUACAAACAACACAGACAAUAACAGGAUGCAACGCAGAACAGAGAAA